rnacentral:lncRNA from 1 species
CUUAGGAAGUGAUCGCGCUGUACCCACGCUUCGGAGGGGACGCCCGGCCCCGUCCUACAGCUCAGAGGCAGAACGACCCCCGAGGGCGCUUCAGGCGACUCCCUCUGCCAGGUUCCAUUUAAAACAAAACCGAAGGUGGAAAACUCACUGAUCUUCCGGAUGGAGGUUCCUACCGCCAUGUCCCUUCCUCCCCCGCCCCACCGGGCAAGGACCCCGGGGCUGCCUCGCCGGCUCAUGCCGCCCCGCAUGUGGGGGCCGAGCCCGGCCGCGCGCACAGCUUCUAGUGGCCCGCAAGAUUCCUCCUGGGGCGGCGCUGGGAGCCUCGGGGCUCGGCUUCCUCGACCCCCGCCCCCAGGUUUCCUCUGCAGCCUGAGGUCGGGAAGGACGGACGGAGAGUGGAUCCUCCAGGUGGUGGGAAAAGCUUAACAGCCUGGUGCCAGUUACCCUGCGGGUAUCUUCCACGGACCUGUGACCUGUCGCUGUGUACAAGCUUGAAUUCCUAACUACGAGUCCUUGAAGCUCCCUUGCUGCCUGAGCGGAACUGAAAUGGCUCCCGGCUGAGGCAUUCAAGGGAAAACUCACUGAAAUAUUUGAAACUACCACCAUGAACAAGAAUGCUCUUCCAGUGUGCCAGGAUGUACACCCAGAGCAUUAUCCUCAUUAGUUGUAUAUGCCAGCAUCCGGCAGGCGCUUUUAUCUUCUUUGGGUGUCAACUUUGAGAUUCUUAUGUAAGCUGCGACCUCUUCCUCUGCCUGCAAGCACAUCCACCCACAACCACGUGUUGCCUGGUUUAGAGGAGUGACUGGUGCAGUGAAGCUCAGACCAGAAUGCAGCUGUGAUUGCAGGAACAAAGCUGCUAUCUUGGGGCAUGAGGUGAUCUAGAAGAUACAACCACCUUCAGUCAAAGUGCCUGAGGGAAUGACAGGAGAAGCUGGGCUCUCUGAUAAGAUCACAGAUCCAGUGCACAGGGGAGGAUUGCCUCCCUUCAGAUUCCUUUCAUGUGAAAGGACAGACCUUUCUAUGGGUAACUGUGUCCUCCCAGAAACCUAUGGAGAGCUGAAGGGGUUUUAGGAUUGUGGAAUCCACCCUCCUCGUUUGGUAAAAGAGGACAAAGGCCACAGAGCAGUGCGCUGGCUGAGGCAUGCGAUU